UGGCGGAUGGGUGAGUAACGCGUGGGUAACCUGCCUUACACAGGGGGAUAACAACCGGAAACGGUUGCUAAAACCGCAUGAAGUAUGAACAUCGCAUGAUGAUCAUAUUAAAUAUUUAUAGGUGUAAGAUGGGCCCGCGUCUGAUUAGCUAGUUGGUGGGGUAAUAGCCUACCAAGGCGAUGAUCAGUAGCCGGCUUGAGAGAGUGACCGGCCACAUUGGGACUGAGACACGGCCCAAACUCCUACGGGAGGCAGCAGUGGGGAAUCUUGCACAAUGGGCGAAAGCCUGAUGCAGCGACGCCGCGUGAGUGAAGACGUACUUCGGUAUGUAAAGCUCUAUCAGCAGGGACGAUAAUGACGGUACCUGACUAAGAAGCCCCGGCUAACUACGUGCCAGCAGCCGCGGUAAUACGUAGGGGGCAAGCGUUAUCCGGAUUUACUGGGUGUA
rnacentral:rRNA from 1 species